rnacentral:rRNA from 1 species
AACGAACGCUGGCGGCAGGCUUAACACAUGCAAGUCGAACGGGUGCAGCAAUGCAUCAGUGGCAGACGGGUGAGUAACACGUGGGAACCUUCCUAGGGGUACGGAACAACUCAGGGAAACUUGAGCUAAUACCGUAUACGUCCGUAAGGAGAAAGAUUCAUCGCCCCUAGACGGCCCGCGUCGGAUUAGGUAGUUGGUGGGGUAACGGCCUACCAAGCCUACGAUCCGUAGCUGAUCNGAGAGGA